GUUCCGGUAUAUUUUCAAAAUAAAACACGAGGCAAGUUAACGAAGCCUGUAGUGUCUUAUUGUUGCAUAGGUUUUGGCAAACAACCGAACGUCGCUGUUUUUCUGCCUAGCUGUGGUCUAACUUGAUCUAGCUUGUCUCCCAUUCACCUAAUUUUACUCUUGGUUUAUUCCCGAAACGAACAAUGUAUACGAACAAUACAGCAGUGUCUAUGAAUAUGUCACUUUUGAAAGGUAACUGGCCAAACGCUUAGUGGUUGACACCCACCGUGGUGUUUAAAAAGUCAGGAGAGUUAGCCUGUGUUGCUGAUAUUUGCACGCUAUUCUUUCGCUUGCAGACAGUCGAUGGGACCGUCUGGGAUUUUUUUUUGUCCUCAAAUGAACCCACUGGCGUCGCAGAGGCCGGAUGGGACACCUACACAUCAUUCUGGAACAAAUAGAGGACCAGGGUGGAGCUAGGGCUGGCAUGACUUCGGGAUAUUUUUUCUCUCUCCCGGAGCUAAUGGGUGUCUUGACUGAUAUGUACAGGGAUGAGAAAAUACAUACAGGAUGUUAACAUGGUUGAGGACUGAGGUGGAAGUCUCCAAUUCCUCAUACCUACACAGACUGUAUUGGGGGAGGUACUCUACUUUCUUCAACUGGAGGAAAUGGACUCGAGCUAAGAAUACGACACUGGCUGUCAUGUGCCUGCUGAAACAGCAGGUGGUGCUGUACUCCCAAUAGUGAGUCUAGUUUAGCCAGGUAGCAGACAUCGCAACAAAAUGAAUGUUUGCUAAUUGAGGAAAAUGGAAAUAACGGAUGGAAAGUGACAGAAGUUACAUCUCAACAUAAUAGGUUAGUAUUUAUAUAUAACUGAACAUUAACGUUUAAAGUCUUCAUUCUAAUCUAGUUUCAUCCCAAAAGUAUAUUUUCAGGAAACUAAAAUGUCAUUUUCAUGCUGACAAAAUUGCUCAUUUCAAACUGCAUUGACCAAAAAAAAAUAAUGCUUAUUAUUUGGGAGCACCUGAUCUUAAUUAAAGAAGGCUAAUGGGUA